rnacentral:misc_RNA from 1 species
GAGAAGGCAAAUUAGCAAUGGCAAUAGGUGUGAGGUUGUUGAAGACAUUUUCUUUUAGCAGAAUAACUUUUAGGCUUAGUUUGGAUGAGCGUAAAAGAGAGGUUAAAAAAAAGGCAAAGAGAGAGAAUUAAUUUAUGUUAUGCCCGUUUAGAAAUUAAUAAAAGGUACGGAAUAGUAAGAGUAAACCUUAACCUUCAUUACUCCUCUCAAAUUUAAUUUUUCUUACACCCCAAUAAUAUGGGAGAAAUCAGAGUUAUAACUUUUAUUUCCAAGUUCCUUAAAUUUACCCUCUUUACCAAUUGCUCUUUUGCUUUUUCAUUAACUUACUCUUUUCGAACAUGAAAUUCUUUUU